GAUGAACGCUGGCGGCGUGCCUAAUACAUGCAAGUCGAGCGAACAGACGAGGAGCUUGCUCCUCUGACGUUAGCGGCGGACGGGUGGGUAACACGUGGAUAACCUACCUAUAAGACUGGGAUAACUUCGGGAAACCGGAGCUAAUACCGGAUAACAUGUUGAACCGCAUGGUUCAACAGUGAAAGACGGUCUUGCUGUCACUUAUAGAUGGAUCCGCGCCGCAUUAGCUAGUUGGUAAGGUAACGGCUUACCAAGGCAACGAUGCGUAGCCGACCUGAGAGGGUGAUCGGCCACACUGGAACUGAGACACGGUCCAGACUCCUACGGGAGGCAGCAGUAGGGAAUCUUCCGCAAUGGGCGAAAUCCUGACGGAGCAACGCCGCGUGAGUGAAGAAGGUCUUCGGAUCGUAAAACUCUGUUAUUAGGGAAGAACAAAUGUGUAAGUAACUAUGCACGUCUUGACGGUACCUAAUCAGAAAGCCACGGCUAACUACGUG
rnacentral:rRNA from 1 species